rnacentral:rRNA from 1 species
UACAGAGGUCCCGAGCGUUGUUCGGAUUUACUGGGCGUAAAGGGUGCGUAGGCGGCUGGGUAAGUCGAGUGUGAAAGCCCCGGGCUCAACCCGGGAAUGGCACUGGAAACUGCCUGGCUGGAGGGAUGGAGGGGGGACUGGAAUUCCCAGUGUAGCAGUGAAAUGCGUAGAUAUUGGGAGGAACGCCAGUGGCGAAGGCGAGUCCCUGGACAUUACCUGACGCUGAGGCACGAAAGCUAGGGGAG